ACAGUCGCUUAUUGAAAUGUAUAAAUUCAGUUGAAAAAUCGCCAGCAGUAAGGUUUUGCCACCAACUUCCAUUCCUGAAGCAAAAAUGAAGUUCUUCUACGCUUUGCUCAUGCUGUGGGCCAUAGUAGCCUGCGCUUUAUUCCAAAGUGCAAGCGCUCAAUGCCCACCUGAUGAUUGCCCAGACUUCUGUGAUAAGAAAAGGAAUGAUGACGGAUGCAUAAUAUGUGUAUGCAAGCAAAACUGACAGCCAUAACUGCCAAAUUACAGGGCAAGCCUGUUUCGCCUGCCAUGGAAUUGUUUUAUUGAAAUUCCACAGAAAAAAUGUUUUACUUGGAAAUAUAAAAAUCACAGAUGUUAUAAAUUGAAUUAAAUAAUAAACUCAAAAUCAAAAGAUUGUAAGAUAUUUAAUGUUCAUUUGUACUUUCUUAAUAAAGUUUAUUUCCAUA